UGCUGCUUGUAGAUCGAAAGACUGCACCUUCAGCACAGCAGGACUGGGGUGCCAUCCCUGUUCCCAAAGGCAUGACAGGAAGGUUGACUCAUAUUCAUAUGCUUGGUGCCAGCCCCCAUUAGAGCAGACUGAAACAGGAGUGCACUCAUCUGGGAUCCAGAAGAGCCCCACUUGCUAUGCAGUACUGUCAUAGUCAAAGAGUAUAUUCGUAGUCAACAAAUGAUGACAAACUGGAAGUCUCCAGAAAAUACGCAGCUGCAUUUGAACUCUGAUACAGGACUGUUAUACUGUCUCAUUCAUGCAAAACUGAAUAAGGACCAGUGGUUAUCUCACAGUAUUUACCCUGCAGAACAAUAAAGCUACAACAGGACAAGAGAAAUUUUAAAGGGAC
rnacentral:lncRNA from 1 species